AAUUGGCGCGAAGGAAGUAUUGCGUUUCUAAUUCACCAUGAAACCUUCACUACUAAUCGUAAUUGCCUGCCUCUUGAUAUUUUACAAUUCGGUUUCCUGUGAAGAAAUUCGGGACGGGAACGAAGAUCAUACGCAAAACAUAUCAGAAGAAGACGCUCGCAGUCUAAUCGUCCAAGCUGCUUGGGGCUGAAGGGAGAACAAAGAGCCAAUAAAAGAUGUAGAAAGGUUUUUCAUGAAACGUAAAUAGGUAGAAGUGGAAAUCUUCCAACAUUAACUACAUUAAGAAAUGAGCAUUACGAAAGUAAAACUUUGAUCUGUAAAAUUAUUUAAUUGGUCCUAUGUAUGGGUUCAAUUAUAUUUGUUAACUGUUA